rnacentral:rRNA from 1 species
GCGUGAGGGACGACGGCCUUCGGGUUGUAAACCUCUUUUAGUAGGGAAGAAGCGAAAGUGACGGUACCUGCAGAAAAAGCACCGGCUAACUACGUGCCAGCAGCCGCGGUAAUACGUAGGGUGCAAGCGUUAUCCGGAAUUAUUGGGCGUAAAGAGCUCGUAGGCGGUUUGUCGCGUCUGCUGUGAAACCCCGAGGCUCAACCUCGGGCCUGCAGUGGGUACGGGCAGACUAGAGUGCGGUAGGGGAGAUUGGAAUUCCUGGUGUAGCGGUGGAAUGCGCAGAUAUCAGGAGGAACACCGAUGGCGAAGGCAGAUCUCUGGGCCGUAACUGACGCUGAGGAGCGAAAGGGUGGGGAGCAAACAGGCUUAGAUACCCUGGUAGUCCACCCCGUAAACGUUGGGAACUAGUUGUGGGGUCCAUUCCACGGAUUCCGUGACGCAGCUAACGCAUUAAGUUCCCCGCCUGGGGAGUACGGCCGCAAGGCUAAAACUCAAAGGAAUUGACGG